rnacentral:rRNA from 1 species
UACAGAGGGGGCAAGCGUUGUUCGGAAUUACUGGGCGUAAAGAGCGCGUAGGCGGCCCGCUAAGUCGGACGUGAAAUCCCCAGGCUCAACCUGGGAACUGCGUCCGAUACUGGCAGGCUUGAAUCCGGGAGAGGGAUGUGGAAUUCCAGGUGUAGCGGUGAAAUGCGUAGAUAUCUGGAGGAACACCGGUGGCGAAGGCGGCAUCCUGGACCGGUAUUGACGCUGAGGCGCGAAAGCGAGGGGAGCAAACGGG